rnacentral:SRP_RNA from 1 species
CCGUGCUAGGUGGGGAACCUGUGGUGCCCUGUAACCCUCAAUCCACAUGUGGGGGGCUGAAUUCCUGCCUGAGGCUCGAGCCGGAAUAGGGAAGGCGACUCGCACGCAGCGUCGAGGGCCGGGUCCUGCGCAACGAGAUCUCGUGAACCGAGUCAGGUCCGGAAGGAAGCAGCUCUCAGCGGGCCCUCUCGUGUGCCGCAGGGUUGCCUGGCCUGAGCCAGCGACGAGACCCGCGCCCUAUUGCGUCGAGUCGAUUGCAGGUGCACGG